CAACGGCGAGGGGCUACGUGAGUUUCCGCUGUGUGCGACGCGUCCUUGCCCGCUCUUCCCAAACUGCACGGCCAAUGGGGUGCCGGGAGGCGGGGUAGGGGCGGGCCAAUCGACGCGUUCCACGACU
ensembl:ncRNA C07A12.19 ncRNA